rnacentral:rRNA from 1 species
GAUGAACGCUGGCGGCGUGCCUAAUACAUGCAAGUCGAGCGAAGCGGGGACGGGUGAGUAACACGUGGAUAACCUACUAUAAGACUGGGAUAACCGCGGGAAACCGGAGCUAAACCGGAUAAUAAUAGUUGGAUCUGCGCUGCAUUAGCUAGUUGGUACGGUAACGGCUGACCAAGGCAACGAUGCAUAGCCGACCUUAGAGGGUGUGCGGCCACACUGGAACUGAGACACGGUCCAGACUCCUACGGGAGGCAGCAGUAGGGAAUCUUCCGCAAUGGGCGAAAGCCUGACGGAGCAACGCCGCGUGAGUGAUGAAGGUCUUCGGAUCGUAAAACUCUGUUAUUAGGGAAGCGGUACCUAAUCAGAAAGCCACGGCUAACUACGUGCCAGCAGCCGCGGUAAUUC